rnacentral:misc_RNA from 1 species
CGGCCACUAGUAUAACUAAUGUUUUACAUUUAUUGUCAUUUAUUUAUAAUAAUGACGAUUAUUUAAUCUACUACAAAAUAAAGUUGUUAGUCUGAGUUUAUUUCAUAUUAUUUGCUAUUAUUUAUAAGAAACUCCCGUUUAAUAUUAAAAUAUGGUAACCGAAGGUGCAGGUGCAGGUCGACCUGACAGGGUAUAUUGCUAACAAUGACUGGCUGUCCGCCUGUGUCCGACUGUGGCUGGUAGUCCGCAUUACUAACAAUCCCUUCCCCCUCCCCCACAACUGUUAGUAAUAGAUAAUAAAAAAUAUAUAAAUUUAAAGGUUGAGGGUUGCCGGUAAAAGUGCAGCGAUCCCUUCCUCUGAUUGAGAGUCUAAUUACACACAGCGGAAAAAAGGGGGGAUAAAAGGGGUAGAUGAAAGAAGACAAGGAUUGAGGAGACAUGAUGCAAGAGGAGAAAAUCACCCUUCGUCUACGCCCAAGAGAACCCUGGAAGUAGGGCGGCUGUUUAAUUUAUGAAAAGUAGACAUAAAGAGAACCAAAAGGCAUUAAAUUAGGGUGGUUCUACAAUAGCUGGCAGAUUACGGCGUGAAUUGAACUGUCUUACUAAUUCAUAUUAUGAACGCUACAAACCAGCCAGUCAGCGGUCACGUGACAGUUGAACGACAUCUGUUCGUAUUUUGGCUGUUUAUUUCGUAUUACGAGCUCCUGAUUUGACAUUUCUACGCGUCAUUGACUAUUUAAAACUUGUUUACAAACCAUUCAGUUUACGGCGUCUGAUAUAAAAACAAUGAUGCAAUGUGUGAUUAAAUUUUAAAAUGU